GGGUCUCUGAGUGUCAUCCUGCCUCCUGGGGUCUCUGCCCUGCUCCACUUGCCCAAUCCUCCUCCUGCAAUCCAGAUCUGACUGCUAGAGGGAGGCGAUGGGUGCACUCUGACUCUACCUGUCCCAGCCUUGCUCUGAGGAGGUCAUUGGGAUUGACCACCAGCCACACUUGACCUUUGGUCCUUCAUGACCCCCAGCAGCACUUCUGCUUUUGGUCUAUAUUUUCGCCUAUGUACCCACUGGGGAAGCCCAUCUUCACCAUGUGCUCCCCAACUUGGGUCUCUUGCCUGCAAGACUGGCUGCCACCCCAGGAGUUAUCCUGGGAUUAAGUUUCCUCUCAAACUGUCAAAACUGAAGAAUUAGCUUGGACUGGAGGUCCUCGAGCUGACUGACCUGUAUUCAUUAGAGAAAUAUUUAUGGGUUCCACAGACAGCCAGGCACUUGGCUCGGGGUUGAGGAUACAGAAGUUAAUUUCAAUAGGCCAACAUGGAGAGAGAGCACGUAAUGCCAGAUUCCUCCAUGUGGAUUAACGGCUCCAAGAUCCCAAUUAGAGAACUACUUUUUCCCAUUUUGCAGAUGGAA
rnacentral:lncRNA from 1 species